rnacentral:rRNA from 1 species
AGAGUUUGAUCAUGGCUCAGGAUGAACGCUAGCGGCAGGCUUAACACAUGCAAGUCGAGGGGUAACAGGGAGAAGCUUGCUUUUCCGCUGACGACCGGCGCACGGGUGAGUAUCGCGUAUAGAACCUACCUUUUACAGGGGAAUAGCCCAGAGAAAUUUGGAUUAAUGCCCCAUAGUAUUAUUGAGUGGCAUCAUUUAGUAAUUAAACAUUUAUGGGUAAAAGAUGGCUAUGCGUUCUAUUAGCUAGAUGGUAAGGUAACGGCUUACCAUGGCAACGAUAGAUAGGGGCCCUGAGAGGGGGAUCCCCCACACUGGUACUGAGACACGGACCAGACUCCUACGGGAGGCAGCAGUGAGGAAUAUUGGACAAUGGAGGCAACUCUGAUCCAGCCAUGCCGCGUGCAGGAAGACGGCCCUAUGGGUUGUAAACUGCUUUUAUACAGGAAGAAACCUUUCCACGUGUGGGAAGCUGACGGUACUGUAAGAAUAAGCACCGGCUAACUCCGU